rnacentral:rRNA from 1 species
GACGAACCGUGCAAACGUUGUUCGGAAUCACUGGGCUUAAAGGGCGCGUAGGCGGGCCAGCCAGUCUGUGGUGAAAGCCUCCAGCUUAACUGGAGAAGUGCCGUGGAUACUGCUGGCCUCGAGGAGGAUAGGGGCAUCUGGAACGGUCGGUGGAGCGGUGAAAUGCGUUGAUAUCGACCGGAACUCCGGUGGCGAAGGCGAGGUGCUGGGUCCUUUCUGACGCUGAUGCGCGAAAGCGUGGGGAGCAAACAGG